GGGCUCGCUUGGGCAGCACAUAUACUAAAAUUGGAACAACACAGAGAAGAUUAGCAUGGCCUCUGAGCAAGGAUGACACACAUAUUUGCAAAGUGUUCUGUAGUUUU
ensembl:snRNA U6 U6 spliceosomal RNA